rnacentral:rRNA from 1 species
UACGUAGGUGGCAAGCGUUGUCCGGAUUUAUUGGGUUUAAAGGGUGCGUAGGCGGUCCUAUAAGUCAGUGCUGAAAUAUCCCGGCUUAACCGGGAGGGUGGCAUUGAUACUGCAGGACUUGAGUAAAGUUGAGGUUGGCGGAAUUGACGGUGUAGCGGUGAAAUGCUUAGAUAUCGUCAAGAACACCUAUUGCGAAGGCAGCUAACUAAGCUUUAACUGACGCUGAGGCACGAAAGUGUGGGGAUCAAACAGGAUUAGAUACCCUGGUAGUCCACACUGUAAACGUUGAUUACUCGAUGUUGGCGAUACACAGCCAGCGUCUUAGCGCAAGCGAUAAGUAAUCCACCUGGGGAGUACGCCGGCAACGGUGAA